rnacentral:misc_RNA from 1 species
GGCGGGAGCAGGCCUGUGUGUCUCCUCAAGGAGCUGUCCCUGGGGCUACACUGGAGGGACCAUUUCCCAGAACCUCACACCUCCGGGAGGCUGCCAGGGCUUAGGCAAAGGCAGCAUGUGACUAAGAGCUUUCCCUCCUCCCUCUGCACAGCUCCCCUGGAGAAGGAGCUACCUCCCCACCUGGGGGAACUGACCGUGGCUGAGGAGACCUCCAGCUCUCUGCGCCUGUCCUGGACGGUAGCCCAGGGCCCCUUUGACUCCUUCGUGGUCCAGUACAGGGACACGGACGGGCAGCCCAGGGCAGUGCCUGUGGCCGCAGACCAGCGCACAGUCACCGUAGAGGACCUGGAGCCUGGCAAGAAAUACAAGUUUCUGCUCUACGGGCUCCUUGGGGGAAAGCGCCUGGGCCCGGUCUCUGCCCUGGGAAUGACAGCCCCAGAAGAGGACACACCAGCCCCAGAGUUAGCCCCAGAGGCCCCUGAGCCUCCUGAAGAGCCCCGCCUAGGAGUGCUGACCGUGACCGACACAACCCCAGACUCCAUGCGCCUCUCGUGGAGCGUGGCCCAGGGCCCCUUUGAUUCCUUCGUGGUCCAGUAUGAGGACACGAACGGGCAGCCCCAGGCCUUGCUCGUGGACGGCGACCAGAGCAAGAUCCUCAUCUCAGGCCUGGAGCCCAGCACCCCCUACAGGUUCCUCCUCUAUGGCCUCCAUGAAGGGAAGCGCCUGGGGCCCCUCUCAGCUGAGGGCACCACAGGGCUGGCUCCUGCUGGUCAGACCUCAGAGGAGUCAAGGCCCCGCCUGUCCCAGCUGUCUGUGACUGACGUGACCACCAGUUCACUGAGGCUCAACUGGGAGGCCCCACCGGGGGCCUUCGACUCCUUCCUGCUCCGCUUUGGGGUUCCAUCACCAAGCACUCUGGAGCCGCAUCCGCGUCCACUGCUGCAGCGCGAGCUGAUGGUGCCGGGGACGCGGCACUCGGCCGUGCUCCGGGACCUGCGUUCCGGGACUCUGUACAGCCUGACACUGUAUGGGCUGCGAGGACCCCACAAGGCCGACAGCAUCCAGGGAACCGCCCGCACCCUCAGCCCAGUUCUGGAGAGCCCCCGUGACCUCCAAUUCAGUGAAAUCAGGGAGACCUCAGCCAAGGUCAACUGGAUGCCCCCACCAUCCCGGGCGGACAGCUUCAAAGUCUCCUACCAGCUGGCGGACGGAGGGGAGCCUCAGAGUGUGCAGGUGGAUGGCCAGGCCCGGACCCAGAAACUCCAGGGGCUGAUCCCAGGCGCUCGCUAUGAGGUGACCGUGGUCUCGGUCCGAGGCUUUGAGGAGAGUGAGCCUCUCACAGGCUUCCUCACCACGGUUCCUGACGGUCCCACACAGUUGCGUGCACUGAACUUGACCGAGGGAUUCGCCGUGCUGCACUGGAAGCCCCCCCAGAAUCCUGUAGACACCUAUGACAUCCAGGUCACAGCCCCUGGGGCCCCGCCUCUGCAGGCGGAGACCCCAGGCAGCGCGGUGGACUACCCCCUGCAUGACCUUGUCCUCCACACCAACUACACCGCCACAGUGCGUGGCCUGCGGGGCCCCAACCUCACUUCCCCAGCCAGCAUCACCUUCACCACAGGGCUAGAGGCCCCUCGGGACUUGGAGGCCAAGGAAGUGACCCCCCGCACCGCCCUGCUCACUUGGACUGAGCCCCCAGUCCGGCCCGCAGGCUACCUGCUCAGCUUCCACACCCCUGGUGGACAGACCCAGGAGAUCCUGCUCCCAGGAGGGAUCACAUCUCACCAGCUCCUUGGCCUCUUUCCCUCCACCUCCUACAAUGCACGGCUCCAGGCCACGUGGGGCCAGAGCCUCCUGCCGCCCGUGUCCACCUCUUUCACCACGGGUGGGCUGCGGAUCCCCUUCCCCAGGGACUGCGGGGAGGAGAUGCAGAACGGAGCCGGUGCCUCCAGGACCAGCACCAUCUUCCUCAACGGCAACCGCGAGCGGCCCCUGAACGUGUUUUGCGACAUGGAGACUGAUGGGGGCGGCUGGCUGGUGUUCCAGCGCCGCAUGGAUGGACAGACAGACUUCUGGAGGGACUGGGAGGACUAUGCCCAUGGUUUUGGGAACAUCUCUGGAGAGUUCUGGCUGGGCAAUGAGGCCCUGCACAGCCUGACACAGGCAGGUGACUACUCCAUGCGCGUGGACCUGCGGGCUGGGGACGAGGCUGUGUUCGCCCAGUACGACUCCUUCCACGUAGACUCGGCUGCGGAGUACUACCGCCUCCACUUGGAGGGCUACCACGGCACCGCAGGGGACUCCAUGAGCUACCACAGCGGCAGUGUCUUCUCUGCCCGUGAUCGGGACCCCAACAGCUUGCUCAUCUCCUGCGCUGUCUCCUACCGAGGGGCCUGGUGGUACAGGAACUGCCACUACGCCAACCUCAACGGGCUCUACGGGAGCACAGUGGACCAUCAGGGAGUGAGCUGGUACCACUGGAAGGGCUUCGAGUUCUCGGUGCCCUUCACGGAAAUGAAGCUGAGACCAAGAAACUUUCGCUCCCCAGCGGGGGGAGGCUGAGCUGCUGCCCACCUCUCUCGCACCCCAGUAUGACUGCCGAGCACUGAGGGGUCGCCCCGAGAGAAGAGCCAGGGUCCUUCACCACCCAGCCGCUGGAGGAAGCCUUCUCUGCCAGCGAUCUCGCAGCACUGUGUUUACAGGGGGGAGGGGAGGGGUUCGUACGGGAGCAAUAAAGGAGAAACUGAGGUACCCGG